rnacentral:lncRNA from 1 species
CAAAUAACAGACACCAGAGCCAACAGAGCUGUCAAAGAGUGGUGCUGGUUAAACUUGGUGAUCUCAAAGGCUUUUUCCAGCCUUAACUACUCCUGAUUCUAAGGGGUUUUAUAUUUUGGCUGCACAAGGUGUGGAUUUAAAGGUGAUUGUUUGGGUUUAGUGUUUUUGGGGUUGGAAAAGGCCUUCAAGGUCAUGGAGCCCGAGCUGUGACCAUCCCCUCCUUGUCACCAGGGCCCUGAGUGGCACCUCCAGGGCUUUCUUGGAUCUCAGAGCACCAACAUUUGGUGUCUUGGGUUGGGUUGUUCAGUGAUGUUGAGUUCAUCACCAGAUCUUUUUUUACCUCUUGUUUCACAGAAGCUUCUGUGACUUCCAGGUCUUCAUUAAGCCUUCAAUUAUGAAAAAAACUGGUUUUCCGUCCCUCUCCAGCCCCUCAACCCCACCUGGAACCAUAUCUGGAAUUUCCCCACCAAUCUGCCAGGGCAGCCUGGCUUCCAGUGCCUGCACAGCAGCUUUUUAGGACUUGACUGGCUCAUUUUGUGCCUGGAAUGUUUUCCCCACACUGAUCCAUCCGUUCUCAGCUGGAGGGGCAGGGACAGCUUUUCCAGAUCCUUGCUGACGAUGGUGGUCGCUGGAGGCAGCACUGUUGAAGAUUAUAUCAUUUACAGACAAGAUCUCUGAAAUCUGUUUCCUUCACACAGCAAAGCACAAUUUCAGCAUUUGAGUGGCAGCAAGUGACAUUUGCAGAGGACAGAUCCUGCAGGCAAAUG